rnacentral:misc_RNA from 1 species
UAUUGCUGCACAAAUUCAAUACUUUGUGUUGUGGAGAUAGCAGUCCUAUGACAGUGGAGAAGUACUUGUCCGAGUAACACUUGACUGUUUGUGAUCAGCUCGUAGACAUUUUGAUUUAAUUUCUUUGGUGAUCACCUGCUCAAGGUGAUCCUUUAAUAACUCAUUAGAUACUUGAUGACCUCCUGGUAAUUGCUUUUUUCAGUGAUUGCCAGUCUCCACUCUCCAUAGGAUAGUUUGCUGUUUGAAUCACAAGUUUUUGCUGCCUAAUCUCAUUUGCUGACUUCUUGGUGACCCUAAAGCUGAUUGAUGUGAUGUCUACAUGACAUAUUCAUGUUCCGGCUUCAUAACAGAAAACUAGCCUCUCUGAAAGAAUGACACAACAUUUCAUCUUAACUAAUUCCAAAUAAGUCACAAGUAAGACUAGGGCAAACAAUAUGCUUUUGUUCUGCAUAUACGAAUUUGAAUGUGAAGAGAUGAUCGUGCUUUAUGCCAGUCUUGAAUCAUACCUCCCUGUUAGUCCGGCCCUCAAAGCACAAUGUUAUCAAUUUAUUAUAGCUCUUCCUUGCUGGUUCAUUGUUAUUUUCACUCAUGAAGUGGCAUAUAUUUUUAGCAGCAAGUACAGUUUUCAUAAGCCUUGUAGAGUUGUUAUCAGCACCUAUAUUCUCCUAUAAGAUUGAAAUAAUCCUUAAUAUCCCUGCUGGCUUUGUUGCUGUCAAAAUUUUAGUUAAUACUUAUAGCAUUUCAUCCUGAAAAGUAGUAGUUGGAUAUAGCUGUAUUUAGUAAUUAUGAGAAAGAAAUAAGAAAAUAAUUUUGAAAUUUAUGAUUCCAUGCAUUUUAGAAGUUUCUCUGUUGCCAUUUUUUCUUCAAGGAUGCUCCAAAUUUCCAAGUGUGCUUUUGGCUUGGCAAAAUACUGAAAAUCGAAACAGUCAAGAUUAGUUUCUCAAAUUGUGCUUUAUCCAUAACUCAAAUGCUCGAGUAAGAAAUUUGGAACUAGAUAUUAUUUCCAGGAUGUGUUUUACUGUUGAAUUUUCUUGCUAAACUUUCCACAAAAAGAGAAAAAGUGUUUAACAUUGUACUUACUGAUAUAUCUUUAUCCGUGAAUCAUGAUGAAUUAUUGGCAGAGAUUAUUAUUUCCAUUGCUGAG